UUGAACUUGUGAUCCUCCUGUCUCAGCCUCCCAAGCCGCUAGCUUCUCUAUUUUUAUUAAUAGUAUUUCACUUCCAUUAAUACAGGCUCACACUUGUGUCUUCUCACCCCCCAUGACUCUUAUGAAGUUCUCUGCACUACAAAAUCUGCCGUCUUACUCCCCUUCCUGCAGCACUUGAUGUUGAAGUCCUGCAGCCUGUCUGUGCUCCUCUCCUCCUGCUCCAGUGCCCCAUGGUAAGUCCUCCUGAGACCUGACUUUGCAUACAUCACACCUUUGGCUCACAUUAUCCUGCAGCCUGCAUUCAGGAGAUCUAGCUUCACCGGUUCAGCGUUUUCAUCAUUUCACCUAAACUGCCCUUUCUAUCAUUUCCCAUCCUCCACUCAGUUGUGUUCUAGCCAGGCUGUGGGCUUGUUCCCAGCACUCCAUCUCCUUCCUGGAUUCUGCGACCCUGUUGCCCUCUUCCAGGUGUAGUGCUGCCGUGGACUGAGACCAGAUGCCCAGUGCUUGGCUCUGUCCUCCAGGCACUUUUCCCCAGCACUGGGCAGCUGACCAAUCCACCUCCCUGGAUUCUGCUGCUUCACCUGUGGGAUGGCCUUCGCUUUGCCAAUCCACGUUUUCCUUUUUCUAAGUGCCUUCUCUUCCCAACCAGCUUUUAGCAUGCAUGGAAGAUAAAACAUUUGGGGGUUCUUUGUCUCCCCAACCUGUAGGGAGGUUGUCCCCAACAAAACAAUUAAAGUGCUCUCUUUUCACUUUCAGCUGACAUGUUCCUGAUGAUUGGAUGUUGCAUUUUCUGGUCACCCUAUUGAUAAAUGACUGGAUUAGGAUGAUGCUUGAGCACCUGGGAAAUCGCACUUCUCCACACUCUUCCACAGAACACUUCUGAGACCAAAUGCCCAGGGUUUUGUCCCCUACAAGCACUCAUCCAGAUCUCCAUGGGUACCAGGUGGGUGCCCUGAAAUUUCACUCUGUUCUGACACUAGCUGGAGUUAAGGGCUCUGUCCCACAAGACACUGACCCCCACUUUAAAUGCUGGUUGUAAAGUCAGGUUGUGCCAUUUACUUCUGACUUGCUGGCUAUAAAUUAAGGGUUCCCAAGAUGCCCUCCUAUGUUUUAUCAUUUGGUAGAGUGGCUCAUAGACUCAAGAAAAGGGUUUACUUACUAGAUUACUAGUUUAUGAUCCAACUCAGAGGCAGCCACAUGGAUGCCUAGAGUGAGGUUUGGAGGUCCUUCACACCCUCUCAAGACACGACACCGCCAGCACCUUCAUGUGUGCACCAACCCCAAAGCUCUUCAAACCCAACAGCGCAGGGAUUUCUAUGGAGACUUCAUCUCACUGGCACAAUCAAUUAUUCCCUCUAUCUGCAGCACCAGUCCCUGUCCUGAGCAUGGUAGAGGUGGGUAGGGGGUGAAAAUUCUAAGCUCCACUCAAGCUUUUAGUUUUCUGGUGACCAUCCCCCACCUAGGAGCCCAUCAAGUGUCAUAUCACUAAGACAAAGAAUGCUCCUAUCAUCUAGGAAACUCCAAGGAGAAACCUAAGUGAUAUAUUAUUGGCUAGGGUAAUGUUUACCCCAGAUACAGGUACACAGAAAUACAUUUUAAUUCUCUUAGAUUUUGUUGGACUGAAUUGUGAUUGUGGUUUUUAUUUUUGAUUACCUUCUUCUGGAAAGUUCCUCAUAUCCCCCUCAGAUAUCAUGUAGAAUCCACUUGCUGAAGUGGAUCUCAAACUAUGCUUCUGCACAAACCCUAUUGCCUCACAAGGUAAAUGUCAGUAUUCUGCUACCAAAUUCAAAGAACAGUGUUUCUUAAUAUCCAGAAAAUGAUAAUUUAGUGGAUAUGAUUUUUUCAACUUUACGUCAUUUCCCCUAUUUUUUGCCCUUUGAGUUCUUAUUCCCUAGCCACACCAAGGUCAACAAGCAAUACCUCUUUGUCUUGAUAGUGAUCUGCAGCUGCUCCCUCCAAGGAGACAGUAGGUAAAAGACACAUCUGUCCCCAUCCCUUGGGUCCUUAGAGACCAGCUGGUCAAGUCAGCACAAGCCAACAAAUACCACUCACUUAGAGGGUAUCAGGACUUUGAUGACGAUGUCAGUGCUCUGGCUGAUGGCUGCCAAGCAUCCCAAGAAAGGGGGUCCCUUUUCUGAUUCGCACAGUCUCCCUGGAUACAAACAGUGGGAUUGUGGGGGAAGAGGGCUAAACUGCUUGGUUUUAGUGUGGCUUCUUCAUGGGAGAUAAAGCUAGUUAGUACCUGUCACCUCUAGUCUGCUAGCCUCUCGUCAUUCCAGACAAUCUUUACUAAAAUGGGAAUCCCCCAGGCCGUGAGCAUGUCCUUGUGACCCAGAGUCUUUUUUGGUAUGUCUGAUAAAAUGUUAAUGCAAGCAAUGUCUCUCUCCAUCUCCUGUUCUUUAGGCCCUCUUGGAAAAACUUGCCUGGAUUGUCUGUUUCUAUAAAAGCUAAAUGCCUGUUACCUCAGGGAAGCAAUAUAAAUGGAUUUUGGCUCUAUA